rnacentral:rRNA from 1 species
AGAGUUUGAUCAUGGCUCAGAUUGAACGCUGGCGGCAGGCCUAACACAUGCAAGUCGAACGGUAACAGGAAACAGCUUGCUGUUUCGCUGACGAGUGGCGGACGGGUGAGUAAUGUCUGGGAAACUGCCUGAUGGAGGGGGAUAACUACUGGAAACGGUAGCUAAUACCGCAUAACGUCGCAAGACCAAAGAGGGGGACCUUCGGGCCUCUUGCCAUCGGAUGUGCCCAGAUGGGAUUAGCUUGUUGGUGGGGUAACGGCUCACCAAGGCGACGAUACAUAGGGGGACUGAGAGGUUAACCCCCCACACUGGUACUGAGACACGGCCCAGACUCCUACGGGAGGCAGCAGUGAGGAAUAUUGGUCAAUGGACGCAAGUCUGAACCAGCCAUGCCGCGUGUAUGAAGAAGGCCUUCGGGUUGUAAAGUACUUUCAGCGGGGAGGAAGGGAGUAAAGUUAAUACCUUUGCUCAUUGACGUUACCCGCAGAAGAAGCACCGGCUAACUCCGUGCCAGCAGCCGCGGUAAUACGGAGGGUGCAAGCGUUAAUCGGAAUCACUGGGCGUAAAGCGCACGUAGGCGGCUUGGUAAGUCAGGGGUGAAAUCCCACAGCCCAACUGUGGAACUGCCUUUGAUACUGCCAGGCUUGAGUACCGGAGAGGGUGGCGGAAUUACAGGUCUAGGAGUGAAAUCCGUAGAUAUCUGGAGGAACACCGGUGGCGAAGUCUGCCACCUGGACGGUAACUGACGCUGAGGUGCGAAAGCGUGGGUAGCAAACAGGAUUAGAUACCCUGGUAGUCCACGCUGUAAACGAUGGGUGCUGGGUGCUGGGAUGUAUGUCUCGGU